GGGGAAUAUUGGGCAAUGGGGGAAACCCUGACCCAGCAACGCCGCGUGAAGGAAGAAGGCCUUCGGGUUGUAAACUUCUUUUACCAGGGACGAAGGACGUGACGGUACCUGGAGAAAAAGCAACGGCUAACUACGUGCCAGCAGCCGCGGUAAUACGUAGGUUGCAAGCGUUGUCCGGAUUUACUGGGUGUAAAGGGCGUGUAGGCGGAGAUGCAAGUUGGGAGUGAAAUCCAUGGGCUCAACCCAUGAACUGCUCUCAAAACUGCAUCCCUUGAGUAUCGGAGAGGCAAGCGGAAUUCCUAGUGUAGCGGUGAAAUGCGUAGAUAUUAGGAGGAACACCAGUGGCGAAGGCGGCUUGCUGGACGACAACUGACGCUGAGGCGCGAAAGCGUGGGGAGCAAACAGGAUUAGAUACCCUGGUAGUCCACGCUGUAAACGAUGAAUACUAGGUGUGGGAGGACUGACCCCUUCCGUGCCGCAGUUAACACAAUAAGUAUUCCACCUGGGGAGUACGACCGCAAGGUUGAAACUCAAAGGAAUUGACGGGGGCCCGCACAAGCAGUGGAUUAUGUGGUUUAAUUCGACGCAACGCGAAGAACCUUACCAGGAUUUGACAUCCAACUAACGAAGUAGAGAUACAUCAGGUACCCUUCGGGGGAAGUUGAGACAGGUGGUGCAUGGUUGUCGUCAGCUCGUGUCGUGAGAUGUUGGGUUAAGUCCCGCAACGAGCGCAACCCCUAUUGUUAGUUGCUACGAAAGAGCACUCUAGCGAGACUGCCGUUGACAAAACGGAGGAAGGCGGGGACGACGUCAAAUCAUCAUGCCCCUUACGUCCUGGGCUACACACGUAAUACAAUGGCGGUCAACAGAGGGAAGCAAAGCCGCGAGGUGGAGCAAAUCCCUAAAAGCCGUCUCAGUUCGGAUUGCAGGCUGCAACUCGCCUGCAUGAAGCUGGAAUUGCUAGUAAUCGCGGAUCAGCAUGCCGCGGUGAAUACGUUCCCG
rnacentral:rRNA from 1 species